UAAGGUGGUUAUUGCGUCGGGGCUCACCUCUUCCCAUUCCGAACAGAGAAGUUAAGUCCGACUGCGCAGAUGGUACUGCAGUUAUGUGGGAGAGUAUGUCGCUGCCUUUU
rnacentral:rRNA from 1 species